rnacentral:rRNA from 1 species
UUCUAUGGCCAUGCCACCCUGAACAAGCCCGAUCCCAUCUCAUCUCGGAAGCUAAGCAGGGUCGGGCCUGGUUAGUACUUGGAUGGGAGACCACCUAGGAAGACCAGGUGCUGUAGAGG